rnacentral:lncRNA from 1 species
GCGCGGCCCGGAGCGGCGGCGGCGGUGGCGGCGGCGGCGGCGCUUCCCGCGGGCUCGCCCUCAGGUGUUCGCGGCUGCCGUCGCCGAAGAUCGCGGGUCGGGGCCUCGCGGCGAUCGCCCUGGGCGGGCCGGAGACGCCUCGGGCCCCCUGGCGGCUCGGGGUCCACCCGGCGCCGCGGGCCCGCCGCUCUCCCUCGCCUCGCCUUUGCGCCUCUUCUCGCUCUGCCUCUCCAUUUAUUAUUAUUAUCAUUUUUGUUUUCAAAUGGUGUAGCCGCCAGAGGUGCGGUGCUAAAUUCUUGGAAGGGGCCCGGAUGUACUGAGGAUGCAUUACAAUCUCACGAAAGGAGGCGGUAGUGGAAAGCAGCAGUUUUUGGUGUUUGGUGCAAUAAUGGGGAUCAGGUAAUCACCCGAAGGGAGCAAG